UGAAUCUUAUAAACCGGAUCCAAACAAAGGAAUUAACCGAGGAAACUUUAAUCUAAUUCCACCGCUUAAAAUGAGACCCCAAACGCUUAAUUACAGUAUGAUUGGAGUUGUUUUUCUACGGGAGCGAUGAAGGGAGACAUUACGAAAAGGUGCAUCUUAUAAACCGGAUCCAAACAAAGGAAUUAACCGAGGAAACUUUAAUCUAAUUCCACCGCUUAAAACGAGACCCCCAAAACGCUUAUUACAGUACGGUUGUAGUUAUAUUCCGCUUAGAUUCGCUUUUUUCACAUUUGUUACCUUAUUUUAUGCCUUUGAACUGACUCCUCUGAUGUAAAAAAAAUAAUAAUAAAAAAAAAAAACUUCGACAAGACAAGUGACCUCAUCGCAAUGGUAGCCACGAUGAGGAGGAGGAAUAUUACGCCUAUGAUCAGGAUUCUCACGCCAAAGGGAAGACUAAAGAUUAAUACUGCGAGCUAAUCUUCGACACACGACAAACGAACGAACAAACAAACUACAUCACCACACACGAGUCGGAAGAUUCAGGGAUGGCUUACGUAACUACAAAGGUGUUUACGUUAUGGUGGUUUUGUCUAUGUAUAAGGCGUUUGGUUCGUUCUAAGUUACGAGAAGCGGCGUCAGGCAUCACCACCACUACGAUAUCGAUACAGCGACUUCGUAUGAUCAACAGCGUUUGUCUUGGGUUGACCAGCUAAUAAUAAACAAAGGAGUGAUAUUAUGCGUGACCCAAGAUUCCCAAGACGUCACAGUUCCUUUGUAUUAACAGCGCGCUUGUCUCCAGCUGACCAGUUAUUAAAAAAACAAAAUCGAUACAGCGACUUCGUAUGAUCAACAGCGUUUGUCUUGGGUUGACCAGCUAAUAAUAAA